CAUGCCCCUUAUACGCUGGGCUACACACGUGCUACAAUGGGUAGAACAGAGAGUCGCAAAGCUGUGAAGUGGAGCUAAUCUCAGAAAACUAUUCUUAGUUCGGAUUGUACUCUGCAACUCGAGUACAUGAAGUUGGAAUCGCUAGUAAUCGCGAAUCAGCAAUGUCGCGGUGAAUACGUUCUCGGGUCUUGUACACACCGCCCGUCACACCACGAGAGUUGGUUGCACCUGAAGUAGCAGGCCUAACCGUAAGGAGGGAUGCUCCGAGGGUGUGAUUAGCGAUUGGGGUGAAGUCGUAACAAGGUAUCCGUACGGGAACGUGCGGAUGGAUCACCUCCUUUCUAAGGAGUAUAAGUCUUUCUCUAUUCUAUUGGUAAUGUUCUUACAUUACUUCUGAACAUUGGAACAAAGGAUGCCUAGGUAGUAAGAGCCGAUGAAGGACGUGGUAAGCUGCGAUAAGCCUAG
rnacentral:sRNA from 1 species